rnacentral:rRNA from 1 species
GACGAACGCUGGCGGCGUGCUUAACACAUGCAAGUCGAACGGAAAGGCCCUGCUUUUGUGGGGUGCUCGAGUGGCGAACGGGUGAGUAACACGUGAGUAACCUGCCCUUGACUUUGGGAUAACUUCAGGAAACUGGGGCUAAUACCGGAUAGGAGCUCCUGCUGCAUGGUGGGGGUUGGAAAGUUUCGGCGGUUGGGGAUGGACUCGCGGCUUAUCAGCUUGUUGGUGGGGUAGUGGCUUACCAAGGCUUUGACGGGUAGCCGGCCUGAGAGGGUGACCGGCCACAUUGGGACUGAGAUACGGCCCAGACGCCUACGGGAGGCAGCAGUGGGGAAUAUUGCACAAUGGGCGGAAGCCUGAUGCAGAAACGCCGCGUGCGGGAUGACGUCCUUCGGGUUGUAAACCGCUUUCGCCUGUGACGAAGCGUGAGUGACGGUAAUGGGUAAAGAAGCACCGGCUAACUACGUG